rnacentral:rRNA from 1 species
CCUACGGGUGGCAGCAGUGGGGAAUAUUGCACAAUGGGGGAAACCCUGAUGCAGCGACGCCGCGUGAGUGAAGAAGGAAUUCGUUAUGUAAAGCCCUAUCAGCAGGGAAGAAAAUGACGGUACCUGAGUAAGAAGCCCCGGCUAACUACGUGCCAGGAGCCGCGGGAAUAUGCCGGGGGCAAGCGUUAUCCGGAUUUACUGGGGGUAAGGGGAGCGUAGACGGCAGUGCAAGUCUGGAGUGAAAGGUGGGGGCUUAAACCGCGGACUGCUCUUGAAACUGUACGGCUGGAGUGAAUGAGAGGUAAGUGGAAUUCCUAGUGUAGCGGUGAAAUGCGUAGAUAUUAGGAAGAACUCCAGUGGCGAAGGCAGCUUACUGGACUGUAACUGACGUUGAGGCUCGAAAGCGUGGGGAGCGAACAGGAUUAGAUACCCUGGUAGUC